rnacentral:rRNA from 1 species
CGGUAACGAUGGUAGCUUGCUACCAGGCGACGAGUGGCGGACGGGUGAGUAACGCAUAGGAAUCUGCCUAGUAGUGGGGGACAACCUGGGGAAACCCAGGCUAAUACCGCAUACGCCCUUCGGGGGAAAGGCUUCGGCCGCUAUUAGAUGAGCCUAUGUCUGAUUAGCUUGUUGGUGGGGUAAUGGCCUACCAAGGCGACGAUCAGUAGCUGGUCUGAGAGGACGAUCAGCCACACUGGGACUGAGACACGGCCCAGACUCCUACGGGAGGCAGCAGUGGGGAAUAUUGGACAAUGGGCGAAAGCCUGAUCCAGCAAUGCCGCGUGUGUGAAGAAGGCCUGCGGGUUGUAAAGCACUUUCAGAUGGGAAGAUAAUGACGGUACCAUCAGAAGAGGCACCGGCUAACUCUGUGCCAGCAGCCGCGGUAAUACAGAGGGUGCAAGCGUUAAUCGGAAUUACUGGGCGUAAAGCGCGCGUAGGCGGUUUGUUAAGUCGGAUGUGAAAGCCCCGGGCUCAACCUGGGAACUGCAUUCGAAACUGGCAAGCUUGAGUACGGAAGAGGGUCGCGGAAUUCCCGGUGUAGAGGUGAAAUUCGUAGAUAUCGGGAGGAACACCAGUGG